CGGGAAUAUUGGACAAUGGGCGCAAGCCUGAUCCAGCAAUACCGCGUGUGUGAAGAAGGCCUGCGGGUUGUAAAGCACUUUCAGUUGGGAAGAUAAUGACGUUACCAACAGAAGAAGCACCGGCUAACUCCGUGCCAGCAGCCGCGGUAAUACGGAGGGUGCAAGCGUUAAUCGGAAUUACUGGGCGUAAAGCGUGCGUAGGCGGCCUGUUAAGUCAGAUGUGAAAGCCCCGGGCUUAACCUGGGAACUGCAUCUGAUACUGGGAGGCUAGAAUGUGGGAGAGGAGAGUGGAAUUUCCGGUGUAGCGGUGAAAUGCAUAGAGAUCGGAAGGAACACCAGUGGCGAAGGCAGCUCUCUGGACCAACAUUGACGCUGAGGCACGAAAGCGUGGGUAGCAAAC
rnacentral:rRNA from 1 species